GAAUAGGACAAAGAUUCUAAGAAGGUGGGAAGGAAGAAGGCUGCAGUCUAUUUCAGGUCUGGUGAAUUUCGAUCACUGUAGCCUUUAUUGUUAUUUUGGAGCCACUUAGAUCAAAAGACAAGGAGCUUAAAUUGCUGAAAAGGUAGUGUGAAGGACCAUGUGCCACGUUGGGCCUGCCUGAAUAACUGCCAGACCCUACAGGAAUAACCUGCUGGGGGAAUCUCUACCUUUGGAGAGCCAGGAGGCCACCAUGACAACACUGAGUUCAGUAGACUCCUAGGAGAGCUGUGAUCCAAUUGCCAGGAAGCCAGGAUCAGAAAGUUCUUGCCAGCACUGCUGCCAUUGCCUCCUACUCUCACAAAGAUCAAGACCGCACGCUAGAGUGAUGCUGUGGAAAAACCAUCUCCAUGACCUUGCUGGGCAGCAGCAGCAGGAAGAUGGCCUCCUCUUCACAUUUGUCCUCCUGAUAUUCUACCAGUACAUCUAAUUAGAAUUGGAACUCUAGUUGAGGGAGUCUGGGAAAUGAAGACUAGCUUUCCAUCUUUUGCUGUGUGCCAGUUGACCAUAUCUAAUAUCACUGUCUUCUUUCUUAGAGUAACCACUUCACUCCUACCUUUUCGCCUUCCUAAAGAACCACUGUGAGACCACUCUUCUCCUGUCACUCCCCUACCUCACCAUGUAUGCUUCCACACCUACAUUGUUUUCUUUUUUCUUUUCUUUUCUUUUUUUUUUUUUUGCUUCUCCUUCCCACCUGGCCUAUCCUUCAAUGGUCAGGUUAACAUGUUACCCCCACAAUGGAAGCUUCUCUGACUUACUUCUUCAGCAAACUCAAUUGACCCUUUUUCUGGGCUCCUACAACAUUUUGUAAAAAGUCACUGCUAUAGUACAUAUAAUUAACAUCAUAAGUUGUUGUUUUUCUUUCUGCCAGACUGUGAGCCUUUGAAGGGCAGGUACUAUGUUUUAGUUUUCUGUUCUCAAUGUCUAGUCCAGGGUCUGGCUCAGAGUGAAUAAAUGUUGAUGGAGUGAAUAAUACAUGAUGAAAAUGGCAUAAUCUUAAUCCUCUGGAACUUUAGUAAGUGAGGGAAACGUGUUUAUAAGGCAGACAAAAUUCUACUGGGAAGUCUUCAUCAUAUCCCAAAGGCUCUAUUUUCUAUAUAGUCUUCUGUGGAAUUUAGAGACAACCAAUUUGACAAGAGGCUCCCCUAGAUUUGGUUGGGGAAGCCCUUCCCUGUGAAAGAAGAGAGAUUCUGUGAAUUAGUCAUUUGCCUAGUUUCUUGUAAGUGUAGACUUACCUCAGAACAGAGACAUGUAAGCAUCCACCUCUCAACCUAUCUCCAAUCCAGCUAUUUGAGAGGAAGUAUAUGGUUUGGCAAAGCUAAAUCUCCAAAACGAAAACCUCUUGGGCAAGUAAAGGCAGCUAAACCUUGUAAGUUGUUAGUAUACCCAGACUUUGUUUCUGUGCAAGCCCAUCUAUUAAGAUGGACAGGCAUGAUGGCUCAUGCUUGUAAUCCCAGCUUCUUGGGAGGUUGAAGUGGGAGAAUCUUGGUUGAGCCUAGGAGUUCAAGCUAUGAUAGUGCCAGUGCACUCCAGCCUGGAUGAUAGCGAGAUCCUGUCUCGAAAACAAAAACAGAAGAUAGAAAGGGGAGUGGGACGGCAAAGGUCAAGAAGGAAGAUUCAUCACAGAAUCCAGGGAACAGAAGUUAUGAGGGCCAAGGAAAGCAGGACUUCCAGACCUGGACCUCACUUGCUGAUUGGGAGAAAAGUCCUCAAACCUAUUCCUUCUUACACUGGCCUUAGAUGAUUUUCUGACAACUCUUGUGCUCGUGUGCUGUUGUUCAGCUGGUGUUUGAUAAUGGGAAUGUGUCUGAAAUGAAAAGAACAAUAGGCCAGGAAACCUUAUAGCCUGGAUAUUUUAACUUUUAGGUAAAUAUUUAAAUAAUUCGGCAGAGGCUGUUAUAAGUAGUAAUUAUAGGUCUACCCCUAAAUUAAGGCUACUAGUUAUUCAGUUGUUUUUCCUUGAGUAUUUAUAUAAGAAACUACUAAACUGUAACAUUUUAUAAUAUUCUGUGACAUAUAAGAUGUUCUGCUUCCUGUGGCUCCAGUUAUUCUAUCAUUUUUUUUGUUGUUUUUAUUUUACAUAUUGCCUCUAGGUUAUACAAGUUUUUUCCUUCCCCUGGUAAAUGAAAUCACUAUAUUUAAAGUGGUAUAUUGGUAUAUUUUAGGGCAAACAGCAAAAAUAAUAAUAAUAAUAAUAAUAAUAAUAAUAGGUUCCUUACCUAAGCUAUACCUCCUAAGGAAAGGGAUUUGGGGGGGUCUUGAUUUUUCAUCUGCCAAGUAGAAAACCUUCUAUCCAUUUUCACCCAAGAAUUGACAAUCUGAAGGUCACUGUAUUUGGUGCUCGAUUGUCAUAAUGAAAUAGUCCCCAGCAGAGAUCUCUUCAGAUUAUUGCAAGGGCAAACCAGGAUUACUGAAAUAUUUUCAUGUACAAUUGUUAUACUGACCUUCAACUUCUGAUAAUAAAAUAAAUGCUGAAAUUUUAGAGUGUGCUUUUAAGAAAUGCCUGAAUAAGCCUACAUUUGACUAAUCAUAGGAUAAGUUUACUUGUCCAGUUUUAAAUUCAAGCAUGAAUAUAAUUUUUGUAAUUAAUAUGUAUUUUCACACUCUUUACAAACCAAUAUUGUAAUAAGUGAAUUUUGCUGUCAUAGUUUUUAAAAUUUAUUUUUAUUUUUCCCAACUUGUCCUUUUGAAAUGCUUUCAGACUUAUUGAGAAAGUUGCAAAAACUAAUAUGAAGGAUUUUCACAUACUCUUUACCUAGCUUCUACAAAUGUUAUAUUAUAUAACUAUAGUACCAUUUUUUAAACAGGAAAUGAACUUAGUAAGUAAUCUAUAGACCUUAUUCAGAUUUUGUUAGUUGUCCCAUUAGUGGACUUUUUCUGUUCAGGAUCCAGUCCAAGCUCACCAGUUGCAUUUCGUUUUCAUGGUUCCUUGGUCUACUUUAAUCAGAGACAAUUCCUUAGUUUUUCUCUUUCAUAACUUUGACUCUUUGAAGAGUACUGGCCAGUUAUUUUGCAGAAUGUUCUUCAAUUUAUGUUUGAUAUUUCCCGAUGAUUUAAUUCAGGUUAUACAUUUUGUCAAGAAUAUCAUAGAAGCGACAUUGUACCCUUCUCGGUGUGUCUUGUCGGGAGGAAUGUGGUUGAUGUGUCUCAUCAUUGGUAAUGAGGCACUUUGAUCACUGAGUUAAGAUGGCAUCUGGCAGGUUUCACUGCUCUAAAGUUACUGUCUUUCCUUUGAAAUUAAUAUGCAUCUUAUGAGGGGAUACUUUGAAACUAUGUAAAUAUUCUGUUUUUCAUUAUACUUUUGUGUAUCAAUUUUAACAUCCAUUAAUUAUCUCUGCCUGACAUAAUUAUUACUGUGGUGUUUACCAAAUUGUGAUUUUCUAUUUCUGUCAUUCCUUCUACAUUUAUUGAGAUACUACUGUA